rnacentral:rRNA from 1 species
CAAUAGCGUAUAUUAAAGUUGUUGCAGUUAAAAAGCUCGUAGUUGAAUUUCUGUCAGGAGUGACCGGGCCUUUGGAUGAACUUCCAUUGUUUUUUGCUCUGUUUGUCAUCUCUAGACAUCCUGAAAUAUUUUUUACAAAUAUUUCUCUUUUACUGUUAGCAAAAUAGAGUGUUCCAAGCAAAGCGUAGUUUUGAAUACAUUAGAAUGGAAUAAUAAGAUAGGACUUUGGUGCUAUUUUGUUGGUUUGCACACCAAGGUAAUGAUUAAUAGGGACAGUUGAGGGUAUUCGUAUUUAAUUGUCAGAGGUGAAAUUCUUGGAUUUAUGAAAGACGAACUACUGCGAAAGCAUUUACCAAGGAUGUUUUCAUUAA